rnacentral:rRNA from 1 species
CGUGAGGGAAAGGUGAAAAGAACCCCGGAAGGGGAGUGAAAUAGAACCUGAAACCGUGUGCCUACAACCGAUCGGAGCACGUUAAAGUGUGACGAUGUGCUUUUUGUAGAACGAGCCAGCGAGUUACACUAUGUAGCAAGGUUAAGUACUUAAGGUAUGGAGCCGAAGGGAAACCGAGUCUGAAAAGGGCGAAAAGUUGCAUGGUGUAGACCCGAAACCGGGUGACCUAUCCAUGGCCAGGUUGAAGCGAGAGUAAAAUCUCGUGGAGGACCGAACCACGUUGGUGUUGAAAAACCAUGGGAUGAG